rnacentral:snoRNA from 1 species
UUUUAAAUAUUGCUGUCCUGGUAUUUCAUUGAACAGGUUAGGCUGGACACUUGCUAUUUUAAAACUGCAGUGUGUCUCUGGGACUUGCUUGUUUCUCUAGUUGCAUUUGUAAUGGCUAGUGAUAUUU